UGUAACUUAGCUUCAGACUGCACGCCAAAAGAAACUGUACUAAAAUCUAUUUCAGUUUAUCCCAAAACUGUCCCGAUCCAGCAACUGAUCCUGGGCCUACACCGGUGCACAUCAGCCUAUGUCGAAAUGGAUUCCAAUUAUUUUAUUUUUGGAGGAAGCAAUGGAUUCCAUUUCUAUUAUGGCUCAAAAACUGUACCUUGAAACUGUGUAGGGAACGAAGAGGGAUAGCAAACCUGAUUCGGUUCAGCAACCGAUUCUGUACGAUGCGAUCGAUGAACCAAAUGCAACAAAUUCAGCGUAAUGGUGCAGCGUACAAACUCAGUGUAGAAUAAAGCGUUAACAUUAGUGUCUAACUUCAACGUAGAAAUUUAUAUCUAGUUUUAUUGUGAAAAGCUCACAGAAAGAUUACUAAAUCAUUCAUAAAUCAACGCAAUCAAUACUCACUCAGGAAAACACGGAGAGAGAUUAUUGUUAUCAGUUAUAAUUGUUAUCAGCUGAAUUUUUUGUCUAAGUCAAGGUUAAGAGCAAGGUCAAAAAGGAAAAGUACUAGCUGUAAUCUACAUCAUACUUUAUCACGGAACUCAGACACUGACGAGUAUGUUCAACUUUUGGAAACUAGAAAAGCAUAUAUCAAUAUUUCCUCUUCGCCCGAAUGCAAUUAUACGCGCAUAUCCAACCCAACGUAUCAUCCUGUGACACCAUUGAGAGAGGAUCAAACACAUGAUCUAAAGUUGGAAGUGCUGCUUUCAGCUGGAAAACACGUUAAAGCAAGUUGCUUGACACUAUUUAAUAAUACUUUGCACAUAACAUCCUAGUUCUUGUUGUGUUACCGUACAUCGCUGCAGGAUUAUGGGCUAGCAAAAUAUUAACGAGAGUUGAAAGUCAAGCCGAAAUGGGCCUAAUACAUUGAUAACCAGGAAACUGUGUGCUUGCUUCGUAGAAGGGAACAAAUUUCCAUACCAAUGGGCAACGACACAUAAGGAGAUCCUGAUCUGAUCCAUUAUCAAUUAUACCAGCCAAUAAUGAAAAAGCGCAUCGAUCGGACUGACCAUCGCAGCAAUAAAACAAGAACACGAGCUACUCAGUUGACAGCCUUGAACGACUGACGUUAAAACUAUAAAUUUGAAUCGCAUUGAUUUAUCCCGAUAACAAUCGGGAAAACCUUACCUGAUCGUUCUUUCUUCCAUGCUGAUCAUAAGAACAGAAGGAUCAACUGUAUUUAUGUCCGGAGCAUAACGUUAAGAUUGACUGAAGCUUCUUACUACGUUAAUCCGGAUCUUCUUAUUUUUGACGCGAGGACUUACGUGUAACAACCUAAGCUGCCAUGUCGUCCAACACAGGCUUUCAAUAUUAGUACCACGUAGCCCUAGGAUAGUCAGUUUUUGCUGCUGGAGCCGGUUCAUAUGAGGCUUGAAUCCGGAUCGAACAUGUUGAGUCGUGCGAGAUGAUGUCACAGGACUUCUCAAAUUAUCCAGGUCUGCAGAUAGCUAGAGAACGGCUGCAAGUAAAAGUAUCAACACAAUAUAAUUAUCUAAGUACAAAAAGGCAAUAGAUUUUAAUGUACACCGUUUCUUUGUAGUAGAUG